UUGGGUUAUCUAUAAAGAUAUCAAAACCAGACAGUAAAUCAUGAAUGUGGACAAGAGUGUUGUCAAAUAGAAGAAGACCAUGAUAAUGCACUAACUGCAAUGAACUGAACUGACGUUGAAAAUAUGUGGGCACGAGUUCAUGGCGUUGUGAAAUAAUGUUAUACAAUGUUUGGGUAUAUUAAGCAUAAUUAUACACGUAGCCUUCGAUACAUCAAAAUCUACCUAUGAAAAUAUCAAAGUUUUGAAUGACAAUUUCAAACCGAUUUGAAGGGUGGGUAAGCUAAUCAGUUGACGCAGUAAGGACAGUAUUUUGAGUGGGGAGUGUUGGGGUUUUCUAGUUGAUUUGUGACAGACUCCAGCAGGGUUGGACCGUGGGUGUUGUCACGGGCAUUGUGCGUAUGAGAUAGGACACAGCGUUGGGAUAAUACCACACUUAAUGCAAAUUUGAAACUCUGUAACAGAUGACAAAUUAUCUGUCAUCUGCAUUUAACGUUUAUAUAAAUAGUGAUUUUAUUACCGGCAGGUAGUUUUGUGGUUUACUAGCGAUUCUGACAGUCAGAAAUUCAGAUUUAUCUUCAAAAGAAUUGCAUUUUCAAAGGGCACAAAAGCUGAACAGCCAUUGAAGACAGCGGUGCGUUCUUGUGUACGCUGCCUAGAAAAGUACCACUAGUUAUAAAACAACUUAUUAGAGCUAUUUUAAGUAUUAACGUCAAACUCAACCGGUGGUCGGUCCUUUUCCGCAGAAGACAAACCAUAUAUAUUAGGAUCUUAGUGUAUACGGAAAGACAAGAGGGGAGUUAAAGGACAACAUCGGUACAAAACACCCUGUACACUCGCGUGAUGGCGUCAACGUCGGUGAUGGUCGUAUGGACCUACUACCUUCUCCUGGUCCUCGCCGUAGCCAUGCUGUUCUACGGACAAGUGGCGGAAGCCAGUUGUCAUCAGAAAACAACUACAACUACAACGACGACGACAACACCUACCACCACCACCACUGGCCGGCAUCCAUAAUCACCAUGGCAACACAAAAACAUUCCAGAUUUGCCAAAUAACCAAACUACUUAUUAUUUUUAUAAAAUACAGUCAAAACUCGCUAUGUCUAAGUAUUUUGGACCUCAGGAAAUACUGAUAAUACCAGAUAAUGAAAGUUCGAUAUAACCGAAAUACAGAACAGGUCCAACUCAACCCAGAACAAUUGUAAAAGGUUCGACAUAAACAGAACAUCUAGAGAACAGUUUGACAUAGCGAAUUUUGACUGAACUAUUAAUGUCAUAUGUAUACAACUAAUAUUGUGUCUUCAUUGUUAUACAUUGUAACCCCUGUUUGAUCCCUAACAAAGGUAACUAUUAAUUAUGUAUGCUAAAACUUAUGCCAUGUAAGACAUCAGUUUGGUAAUAUCGCAAUUUAUGAACUACACUGUCAAAAUGAUUUGCACCUAACACUACUUGUAGCUUUAAAUUCAUAUUGUUCACAGCAACAACUCCAUGUCAGCAUAUAGCCUAGAAUGGCAGAAAUGUAGAAGCAAAAAGAUGUCUUCAGUGAGGACAAAUAUGGCAUUCAUGGUUGUUGUAUAUUGUAAUCUUGAAUAGUAUUGUUAUAUUUGACUGUUCUGGUGUUACUAUUGUCAUGCAAUUUUGUUUUAGAAUAGAAAGCACAAAAUAACAAUUCCUACCAAACAUUGAAUAAUUGCAACAUUUCACGAAUGGGAAGCUUUUUAUAGCCUUUGUUUGAAAAUAUGAAUUACUUAUAAUAAAUGUUCCCAGCUA